rnacentral:tRNA from 1 species
GCCCGGCUAGCUCAGUCGGUAGAGCACGAGACUCUUAAUCUUGGGGUCGUGGGUUCGAGCCCCAAGUUGGGCG